rnacentral:rRNA from 1 species
GACGAACGCUGGCGGCGUGCCUAACACAUGCAAGUCAACUUGAGGGAAGGAGCAAUCUGACCUGAUGGUGGCGCAAGGGUGCGUAACGCGUAAGUAACUUGCCCAAGGUAAGGAAUAACGUCGAGAAAUCGGCGCUAAUACCUCAUAAUGCAGCGGAUCCGCAUGGAUAUGUUGUUGAAGGUUUACCGCCUUGGGAUAGGCUUGCGUCUGAUUAAGCUAGUUGGUGUGGUAAUGGCACACCAAGGACUACGAUCAGUAACUGGUCUGAGAGGAUGAUCAGUCACACUGGAACUGAGACACGGUCCAGACUCCUACGGGAGGCAGCAGUGAGGAAU